rnacentral:rRNA from 1 species
UACCAGCACCCCGAGUGGUCGGGACGUUUAUUGGGCCUAAAGCAUCCGUAGCCGGUUCUACAAGUCUUCCGUUAAAUCCACCUGCUUAACAGAUGGGCUGCGGAAGAUACUAUAAGACUAGGAGGCAGGAGAGGCAAGCGGUACUCAGUGGGUAGGGGUAAAAAUCCGUUGAUCCAUUGAAGACCACCAGUGGCGAAGGCGGCCUGCCAGAAUGCGCUCGACGGUGAGGGAUGAAAGCUGGGGGAGCAAACCGG